CUUAGCAUCUAGAUUACUUCCAGCCAAAUGGGUGCAAGUUUGGAAGCUAAUUAGGGUGAGGCCUAGUAAGAGAGUACUUGGAUGGGGGAACCACCUGGGAAUACAAGAUGCUUAGA
rnacentral:rRNA from 1 species